GCAAACUUGGUCAUUUAGAGGAAGUAAAAGUCGUAACAAGGUCUCCGUUGGUGAACCAGCGGAGGGAUCAUUACCGAGUUAUACAACUCCCAAACCCACUGUGAACCUUACCUCAGUUGCCUCGGCGGGAACGCCCCGGCCGCCUGCCCCCGCGCCGGCGCCGGACCCAGGCGCCCGCCGCAGGGACCCCAAACUCUCUUGCAUUACGCCCAGCGGGCGGAAUUUCUUCUCUGAGUUGCACAAGCAAAAACAAAUGAAUCAAAACUUUCAACAACGGAUCUCUUGGUUCUGGCAUCGAUGAAGAACGCAGC
rnacentral:misc_RNA from 1 species